UACGUAGGGCGCAAGCGUUAUCCGGAAUUAUUGGGCGUAAAGAGCUCGUAGGCGGUUUGUCGCGUCUGCCGUGAAAGUCCGGGGCUCAACUCCGGAUCUGCGGUGGGUACGGGCAGACUAGAGUGAUGUAGGGGGAGACUGGAAUCCUGGUGUAGCGGUGAAAUGCGCAGAUAUCAGGAGGAACACCGAUGGCGAAGGCAGGUCUCUGGGCAUUAACUGACGCUGAGGAGCGAAAGCAUGGGGAGCGAACAGG
rnacentral:rRNA from 1 species